UGCGUGCGUGCGCGCACGCGUACGUGUUUUGUGAGCUUUUUGCGUGGGCGCGCGUGCUUGUGUGUGUGUGUGUGUGUAUUGCAUAAGGUCGGUAGUUUUACACGCAACAAACCUCUUCAAAAUUGGUGCAGCGGCUGCCCCCGCCCUGAAAAGCGAGUUUGGUGUCGAGCCACCCUGGAAGCCACCCUGGGUUAUAUGGAGGGGCCGGAGGUCCAGUGGAAGGUGUCAUCCAGAUGACAGCCUCACAAUUCCCAGCCUUUGUGCUCUCCAUCAGAAAGUCAUCAGGGGCAAGCCACUUAUGUUUGCCUUCAGACAAGACAACAUUGUAAUAGGAUUCCAGCACAGCCAUCCGUUGCACUUAUGGUCAAGAUACUCUGACAAUGGAGUCCCUGUUCCUUGUGGUUAACCGUGAACAGUAUUCUCGCUUUUAUGAAAGCUAAAGGUGAUUUCCUGCAUAAAUUAGAACUUUGCAGCUCAAAUGUAUACACUUUAUUCUAAUUUGAAUCAACUAAUAUAUGCUGUUUAAUACUUUUAUACUGUUUGAUACAAUCAUUUCUUGUUGGAGAAUAUUAAGCGUGAUGUUUAACAUUUAUUUAUGCAUGACUGGCUGAUGCAUGAUGGCCUUUGUUUAAAAAAUGUGAACUCACACAUUUGAAGCUUGAUUCAGUAACCGGAGUAUGGCUGAUUUAAUAAACAUUAUUUGCUCAUUUAUGUACUCACGUGCUACAAGCCCUAAUCUUCCAUUAUCGUACCAAGUACAAAUAAUUUAGAAAUUGGCAAUGUAUAUUAACUUCAUCCGCAUGUGGCCAGUAGAGUAGCUUAAUGAAAAGUGCUUUGUUUUUAUAAGGCCCCCAUUCAUAUGUCACUUCACACCUAAACAGUAAUAAAUGUGGCAUAUUUAGGCUUUUGUCUUGCAGUAGAAAAAAACCAUUUUCAAGCAACAUAUUUUAUAACAGACCAUGCAGUGCUUUUGUAUUACAAAAAUUUAAGGAAAC